rnacentral:rRNA from 1 species
GACGAACGCUGGCGGCGUGCCUAAUACAUGCAAGUCGAGCGCAGGAAAUCGACGGAACCCUUCGGGGGGAAGUCGACGGAAUGAGCGGCGGACGGGUGAGUAACACGUAAAGAACCUGCCCUCAGGUCUGGGAUAACCACGAGAAAUCGGGGCUAAUACCGGAUGGGUCAUCGGACCGCAUGGUCCGAGGAUGAAAGGCGCUUCGGCGUCGCCUGGGGAUGGCUUUGCGGUGCAUUAGCUAGUUGGUGGGGUAAUGGCCCACCAAGGCGACGAUGCAUAGCCGACCUGAGAGGGUGAUCGGCCAGACUGGGGCUGAGACACGGCCCAGACUCCUACGGGAGGCAGCAGUAGGGAAUCUUCCACAAUGGACGAAAGUCUGAUGGAGCAACGCCGCGUGAACGAUGAAGGCCUUCGGGUCGUAGAGUUCUGUUGUAAGGGAAGAACAAGUGCCGCAGGCAAUGGCGGCACCUUGACGGUACCUUGCGAGAAAGCCACGGCUAACUACGUGCCAGCAGCCGCAGUAA